rnacentral:lncRNA from 1 species
UGUACAAGAGAUAGCUACCAAAACUUUGGCCUUCCAAAAGUAUAGGUUGUUUUCGAGUCGAGCCAAGUCCAUGAGGUCGAUAAAUUAUUCGACAACUGUUUUAAAUCAUCGUCUAAAUUUAAUGCAUAUAAAAAAACUCAACAUCCAAAUUACAACAAUAAAAGGAUAAAAAUUUCAAGAAACCAAUCACAAAGAAGUCAUAACUAAAAGCACAUAUUCCACACUCAGAAACAUAAAAGCACCGAGAUUUAUUAAAUCCUCAAAUGUGUUCUCAAAGAGCUCCUAGAGAUCCCUUACCGCAGCUUCUGCCAAUAGAGAAACUAGGUUUAGAGCUCAGAAGCUUGUCGAAAUCAUUCAAUUCAUGUCGUUGAGUUGUUGUCUUUGUUCCAAUUGGCGGAAGCUGUCCAUGCCUGCUUUUGGAUUGUUUUGGCAAAGUAACUACUUGACUUCUACGACCAUGAAUUGAUGAAGAUGAUGCCUUGUGAGAUGCAAUUCCCCGGGUUCCCUUCCAUGUAGCCUUAACUUCGGCUUGGAGUCCACGGUUAAUUUGAUGUGCGUUGAUUCCUAGUCAAUUAGAACAAUCGACUUUGUCUUUUAGUGUGCCAACUUUCAUAGAUUGCCUGUUGUAGUAAGUGAGAUGCGGAAGAAUACUUUGUAAGUAUUUCUUUAACUGUUCGUUACCUAUAUUCUUCUUGGCCGAAUUUCCUUCUGGGCUUACAACAUUUAAAGAGUUGUAAUGUGCCACAAGUUGACCAAGACAUUUUGGUUGUAGAAAUUUUGUUGUAUCGCAAGUCCUAUACAUUCAAUUUUAGGAUGCAGUGAAGACCUUCAACCUCACUGAAUCCUGUUUCCAGCUAAGUACAAUUCCUUUAGGGAGGAACAAAAAGCAAGGCCUUUCCAAGCAAGAAACAAGUAUAUUAGUAAUCUACCAGAAAUGAAAGUAAUUUUUCGUUUGAAUCAUAUGAUGUCGUAGGGAUAUUGGGCAGACAUCAGAAACUUGACUAACACAGUCGAGCCCACGAUAUCCAAAGAAAUACAUAAUUUUUCUCCUCUAAUUCACCACUUUCACAAAGAGAGAGAAAGAGAGAGAGAGAGAGAGAGCGAGCGAGCAAGCGAGCGAGAAAUCUUUAUUUCAAAUAUAACAUUGACACGUGGAGACUGAAAAACUGCAAUCUAAUCAAAUGUUUCCCACACACGGUGAAACAGAAGGAAUUGCUAUAGAAAUACAUUCAAUACUUUUGGUUCCCUAGAACAAAGUACAAGUUGAAAGCUACAUCAAAUCUACAACCCAGGCCCAAACAGUGUUCAUAAUGCUCAAGUUAGUAUCCAAUCCUGGCAUCAUGUAACUGCUAGGUAGUUAUCAUCCACGUGUCCAAUGUAUCAUGCCCAUUCACCAGACAAUUUUCACCCAUUUGCUAAGCUGUUGACCUCCAUCUACAAAUUAGAUGAUGGACUUAGUGAUAAUCGUCAAACAAUUUUCAAUCAGUUCCAAGGAUGUUUGGAUGGUUUGGGUAGUAGUUGUCAGUCUAGUGUAACAGUAGUCGGGCCGACGUAGCGGUAGUCAGGCUAGCAUAGUGGUAGUCCAACAAGCAUAACGACAACCAAGCAAGGAUAACAGCAGUCGGGUUGGUGUAGCAGUAUUCAGGCUAGUAUAACAAUAGUCGAGCUACCAUAGCGGUAAUCUAACAAGCAUAACGACAGUUAGGUUAGUAUAACAGCAGUCGUCCCAUCAUAGCAAAAGUCACCUGACAUAGUGGUAGUUGUCUUCACUCGAUUGGCCAUCUCAGUUCAUUGUUUGAACCACAUAGCAUCAAUUCAUGACUGAAGAAGCUGAAAAAAGAUUUUUCUGCUUCGAGUCAAGUCAACUUGUUCACAUUGAAUUACCAUUGUGCCCUCAGAAAAUGACAACUGA